UUGGAUUUGGUGUGCAUUCUAAGAAGACCUGGAGGGAUGUCUGGUAGAGAAGAGAAGAUGGAUGUGCAUCAUUUAUCCUCAGGAAACAGUGGGUUUCAGGCAGCAAAACGUUCCUGCUCCAGCAGUACCUGAAGAAGAAAGAGGCUCAGACUCAGAGCUCUUCAGAACCUGCUCUUCCUAAACCUUCUUCUAGUCUUCCAGUGUCUUCUUUAGAGAUGGAAGAUGAUGAAGAGUUGGAGAGAAUGAUGCUCUAUGUCUCUCCAUCCAAACUCCUCCCUUUACAAGAGCAGGGACAUGUAGUGAAGAAGAUGACAGGACCAACGUGUUUAGAAACAAUCCCAACCCAGCCAAGUUCACUGAGUAAAGGUCUAGCUGCUGCUGCUGCUGUCGCUGGUACCUGAUGGUUCUGUCGUAAACCAGGAUCACCUUUUCCUUUCCUCUGUUUGCUGGUUGGCCACGUUCUGUUCUAAUGCAGGUGUUUUGUGUGAUUGCUUUUGUGAUGCUGAAGGUAUUCAUUGUUCGUCGUUGAGGGUAAAUUCAGAAAUAUUUUAUUUGCAUGAGUUUCUCAUGAAAGUGAUUGAAAGAAACCAGUCUUAAAAAGCAGAAUUACAACAAAAGUACAUGUCUUAACACGUCAGAGUAAAGUGGUUACACAUGGAUUAUUACAUCAUAAUGGUACCUUUCCUGGUCAAUCAAAAUAUUAAAAAAGGAAAAUAAUUAUUCAUUUAUUGAUUUUCAUACCACACCUGUUCUAUUGAGCAUGUUUUCUUAGAUGGUUUUGAGUGUUUUGCACAAUUACUAACAAAGAACUCUAAAUACUUUGGGCUUUAGUGAUGGAUAUUUCUGUUGAUCUGAAUCCAGACCAGCCUGAGAAGUCCAGCUGUCCUGCUGCUACACAUGCAGUUUCUUCUGCUCCAGUGAAGACUCCUCUGCCAGUACCACCAGAGUUCCUCGCCUUGGAACUGCCUCAAAGUGUCCAGGAUAAAACCUACACAGUCGUUGGAAGACCCUCAGCUCAGUCUGCAGCUCCUCCUCCUGCUCACUUUCAGCCAACGCCUGCUGCUCCACCACUUCCAUGUUAUGACCAAGAUGUUAGAAGCUGGAACUGAUCUCCCCAGCAGAGUAUCUGGAUGAAAACAGAGAUGGAGGCCUUAGGACUGUGGCCCGGGUGUCCACCUGUGAGACCUGCAAUGAAUAUGAUCUGCUUGUGGCGUAUCCCACCUCAGAACAUCAUUUACCGUAAAACCUUUGGAGACCCAGCAGCUGUGGUAUAAACUCACUCAAGGAAGUGAAACUGUCACUGUGCCAGUUGUGACUCUCCCUCAUGCUUAAACCAGACGAAGCUCCUCUAACUCAGACCGACGUUGAAAUAAUGGUGAAGGAGAUUGUAGGUCUGCAGCAACAACAGCAGAAACCUGGAAAAAAGAUGAUACACAACUGUCUUGCUUGUGGGCAGCCUUGUUACUUUGAGGAUGGAUCUUCUGUUCAUUUAUCUGUCUGGGGAUGUAAAAUACCUCUACUGCUCCAAAAAGGUACACUAGAUCUAUGCAGCAGAAGUCCUUACCAACCCCAGAAUCCCAUUUGCAGACUUUGCUGUCAGUCCAUUUUUUGACAGAGAGUUAAAGGCUGCAUUCAUGGUCACACACUGAUUAUGAUAGAACUCCUGAUUUUAUCCUUCAAUGUGAAAAUAUUUGUAAUUUAGUUUGUGAAAUCUAUUUUGUGAAUACAAUUUUCUUACAGUUUUGUUCUUGAAUUGUUUAGAAAAAGCAACAAUAUUUACUUCUACCUCAAUUCAUUUUACAUCUUUAAAUUACUUGUAUUAAUUUUUGCAUAUUUAAAUCCUUCUGCCCUUUAAUUGUAGAUACAUGGUUGAACGUUUUGUGUUAAAUACUGUUUAUUUAUUUAUUGCUUGUUGAUAUCUUAAUAAAGCAUGGUUGAAAUUGAAAUGACUGUUUUUAGGCACAAGGAAAGAUGGAAGUAGAAAACAAUAAUUAUGAAAUGUCAUUUUCAGUUUAACAUUAAAACAUUUAUUAUA